rnacentral:rRNA from 1 species
UACGGAGGAGGCAAGCGUUAUCCGGAAUUAUUGGGCGUAAAGCGUCCGCAGGUGGCACUUCAAGUCUGUCGUCAAAGACUGGGGCUUAACCCUGGAAAGGCGGUGGAAACUGAAGCGCUAGAGUGCGGUAGGGGUAGAGGGAAUUCCUGGUGUAGCGGUGAAAUGCGUAGAGAUCAGGAAGAACACCGGUGGCGAAAGCGCUCUGCUGGACCUUAACUGACACUGAGGGACGAAAGCUAGGGGAGCGAAUGGG